ACUGCUGAUAUUCUGCGAGCUUGUGAUGAGACGAUCUUUUGUGUCUCUCAGGGAUAUGUUCAUGCAGGUGCGUGUUUGGCAGAAAGAGUGGGUCCCUCUGUAAAUGUAGCAUACAAGGCAUUCCUCACAUUGACAGAGCGGGACACCAGUCCGUGAAUGUCAGCGAAACCUGAGAAGUGCUCAUAUGUCAAACAUGCAAAAAGUGAGAACAUAACAAGAGGCUUUGUGUUAGACAGGUGGUUCUGAUUCAUGGUGUCCCCCACCAAUUGCAUACACACACUGCAAUCUUGGCACUGCAGGGGGAUUACGGCCAGGAUGUGGCAACCCAGGCAUCAUCUGGAGUUGAGCCCUGUGCGCCUGGAGCUCCGAGUGAGGUGCACUAGCACUAGCACUCCCAUUAAUCUAGUCUUUCUUCACAGUCUCAUCUGUAACCAUUAGCUUCAGUUACAUCUAUUACUCACAGGCAAACACAUAUGAGGCCAUUUGUAGUCUUUCAUUGUUUAUACCGAUGUGUGACAGUGGGAGAAAUUUCCAAGGGAGAUGCAUGAAACAAAAGCCAGAACGAAGAGUGAAUCAGAUAUAGAAGGGAAAGAGGAGUCAACAUCGGAGCAAGGGAUCAAACAGGAGUGACGGACAGGAAGUACUGUGUUCCCCAUGUGUCUUUCCCUCUUCACUCUGCAGGCUGUGGUGGAGAUACUAGAGAUCUGCUUCUCAUUAUACUAUAGAAAAGGAUUUAAAGAGGAGCAUAAUGGCUGACUGCAGUCUUAACCCUGUCACUCUGAUGCCCCAAACCACCAAAAGCCUUCAUCAAACCUCACAGCCACACUCAAACAUCAGCUUGUAAAUACAAAACAGCUUUGCUGCCUCACGUCAGCCUCCCAUUACCAGGCACUCCAUACAUCAGAGACUGAAUGGAGGCCAAUAGCCCGAUCCACCCAUUCAUCAAAACCAUUAUGGCAGGCCUUCCGUGUAAGAGUUUCAAAGUUGCACAGAGCAGGCUCGCCUGGGCCCCAUCACUGCCAGUCGAGCUGAGUGAAGUGCAUGUCAGGAGCCUGAUUUGUGAAAGUGCUUGCUUAUAUAUGUGGUAACAUAUAGUCAGUCCCCCUCAGGAAUACGCCUCCAGUGAACAUCCAAAUCCCUAAUGAGCUAAAGCUGUGUGCAAAACUGCCAUUGUGGUAAGAGUUUCCUGUGUAUUUUCACACUGGUGAGAGGAGAAGACUAACACAAAAGAAGGAUGGAGGUGAGGAUGAAAAGAGCAAGCCAUGAAAGACGCAUCCUGCAGAAGUUCAAGAAAAGAGGAAGGAGGGAGUGAUUGUUAUUAUUUUUUCACUUGUGUUUUCCUCUCCUUUUUUGGACCGUGUAAAGAGCUCCUUGACUCUAUUUGUGGUCUUGUUCCUCCACAGCUGUUGUAGUCCAUCCUUUAUAUAAUGUUUCUUACACCAGCUGUUCAGGCUGCGAUCACAGGCUUUACAGCCCUGAGAGAUUUAUCUUUGAUGCACACACAAACACACAUUUUCAGAUACUCCUGAUUUAAGUGAAAAUAAAACCAUAAAGUACUUUAUCUCUUGUCAUGCCAAAGGCAAAUCAACUUGGAAGUAUAUAAACUCUUUUAACAAAGUUAUAUGUUUGAGAAAGGGAAAUGUGUUUUGAUGGACUACCAAUCUCAUAGCGAUUUCUCUUUAAUAAGGACUGUGGGAACUUACCUCUGUGAUGUAAGAAAACUUGAUUUAAGAGGCAGUUGCUGUAGUUUGGGGAUGAUUGUGCUCAGAUGUGAAUUCCUCACUUUCUCAAUCAUGGGGAACAAACAAUGGACACUCUGUGAUAUGAAGGUAAGGGGGGGGCAGUUAAAGCAUAAAGGUAAAUGACACUGCAGUUCUUCAUUACAAACCUUUCCUGCUGCCAAUCUUAAUAUAACUGCCCUGAACUGUGCCUCACUUUCUUCCUAUAUAUGCACACAUGGACUGACUCUCACACACCCUCUCUCACACGCAGGCAAAGUUCAACAAGCUGUGGUUUUCCUUGAGGUAUAAUUGAUUGGAUUUUAAUGUAGCUCCUGAAAGAAUGAAAGGUUCGUUGAUAUAAAUAAUUUGCCUCAUUUCCCAGCUGACCUCUUUUUCUCCUGCACUUUACCAUCACACACUCUCUCUCUCUCUCUCUCUCUCUCCAUUGUGUUUAAUGCCUGUUGUUAACCCUAUGACAUCUAGUGUAAACACAAGGACUAAUGUAGUCAUGUCUUUAUGUAUGUAUUGUAUUUCUUACAUUCUGAACUUGAAUUACAAUCCUUUAAAGGAACAGUUUGACAAUUUAGGAAAAAUGUGAGGAAUUAGAUGAGAAGAUCAAUACUACUCUGAUGUCUGUGUGGUAAAUAUUUAGCUACCACUAGCAGCUGUUAGCUUAGCUUAGCACAAAGACUGGAAACAGACAGCAGGAAAGAGCUAGCUUGGUGCUGUCCAGCGGUAACAAAACCUGUUGCACCCUGCUGUGUCACAUUAAGAAUACAGAACAUCAACAUUACUGUGGCAGUAAUCACCCCCUGUCUGAAAUCACUGAGCCUAUUUUCUAAAAUGUGAAACUAUGCCUUUAACGCAAUCCUAACUUGGGAAAAUCUCCACGAGCACAGUGAAAGGUUUAAUAGUCCGCUCAACCUUCAGGCUUCAUCAACAUUAUAUUGCUAUUUUUUUUCUGAAUGAAUGUGUGUAUCUCAGCUUUCAAUACAUAAGGACUGCUUUUCCGGAGACUCUGUUCCAUUCCUGGUAUGAGAUGGUGCCCACUUCCUUCCAUUGAACCAGCCAAAUGACCUUCUCUGCAGCUAUGCUGGGAGAAAUGGAAUAGACAAUGGGAGAGCAGGAUGGACACCAGAUCAGAGACUGUGGUAUAACCCUUACAAACAAACACUCAAUGCCCCAAAACCCGGCAAUUCUAACUCCAACACUAUGGUUUUCUGUCCGGGAAAAUGAUGCAUAUAAGCAAACAGUAGGAUUUGACUACCUUGAUUACUGUGUUGAUCUGAUGUAAGCCUAUUUUAAUUAUGAGGAAGCUAAUUACUGUUCAUGAUUCACACAUUUUAAAUACUUCACAAGACAUUUUAACCACACUGUCAACUCCAAUCGUAUGGUAAGAGAUUUUACCUGAGAAGUCUUUGCAAAUUAUUAAACUGAAAUGAAUGCCUUAUUUUGGUUUCUGAAUUUCUUCAGUUUUUUUGACAGCAAAAGGAGGAAAUGAUCUUAACAUGUACAAACAAAACAAAUACAGCGACCUGGUGAAACCUCAGCGUGAAAUAUGCACAUCAGAGUGCAAGGCAGUUUCCUUAAGUGUGCCCCUCACCCCACCCCCCAUCUCAUUUCCUCCAUACCCAAACAAAAGCUGCUUCUCUGGGAAAAGAGCUUGGCCACUUAUGUUUCCGUGUAGAGCCCAGACCUGCUUGCAUGCAAACUCUUUGGCCAUCAGCAUGUCUGUACAGGGUACAGAGCACUUCAGCAUCAACAAACUGCAUACAAGCAACAUGCACAGAACUCACCUAAACAUUUAAGUCAAAACUCAGCAAGACAUGACACUUUACUGCACUAACCAAAAAUAUAAGCAGUGUUCAUCACUACCCUCCAGCUUUGAUCUGGCUGUUGGGUAGGAGUGGUUUCCCCAGGUGGGUUCCUACUGUCAGAACAAACUCCUUUUCAGCAUAUUUCAAAUGAGCUUCAGCUGGGAACUUCUCCCCAUCAAAAGCAAUCUGAGAAUAAGAGGAGCGGGGCGUUUCUCCCAAGAGUUCCACCAUCUGACAGGUCACAUCCAGGAUACCAUUCUAGAGAUGGGAUACAUGUGCUUUGAGUGCACUGUAAAAGGCAACAUGAGGCCAUUUCAGUCUAAAGAAGUUUAUAGUAAUUGAUGCAGGAGAAAAUUCUUUGAUCAAGUCACAUGGGGUUGAGAGAGCAGGUACCCUGACAGAAUGUUCUUAAAAUUCUUAAGACUGGGUGACGGUGAGCAAUACUGAACUAAGUGUUAUAGCCAUUAAUAAUGAAUCUUGCCUAGAAGAUCCCAGCAAAGCUUGAAGAUAAGCAUGUGGCCCAGUACAUUGUCCAGAAACAGCAGUUAAAGACUUCUAGUUCAGACACACUGGUGGGUUACUUCUGAACAAGCUAGAAGUAUUGUGCAAACACUGGCCACUAUUGAGUCUGUCACCCUGAGGACUCUUUUGGCUGUACUCGUCAUAGUGCAAUAAACUUGCCAAGACAGUAGAUGUUCUUAGACAGCUUUUAUUCAUCAUAGUUGAAUGACAAGAGAUCUUGCAGUCUUUAGACUCCAGCUUUCAUCUGGUUGUUGGGUGGUAGUGGCUUGCCCAGGUGGAUCCCCACAGUCAGUCCAAACUCCUCAGUGGCAUGUUUCUCACAGAC